rnacentral:rRNA from 1 species
ACGCUGGCGGCAGGCCUAACACAUGCAAGUCGAGCGGUAGCACAGGAGAGCUUGCUCUCUGGGUGACGAGCGGCGGACGGGUGAGUAAUGUCUGGGGAACUGCCUGAUGGAGGGGGAUAACUACUGGAAACGGUAGCUAAUACCGCAUGACCUCGCAAGAGCAAAGUGGGGGACCUUCGGGCCUCACGCCAUCGGAUGUGCCCAGAUGGGAUUAGCUAGUAGGUGGGGUAAUGGCUCACCUAGGCGACGAUCCCUAGCUGGUCUGAGAGGAUGACCAGCCACACUGGAACUGAGACACGGUCCAGACUCCUACGGGAGGCAGCAGUGGGGAAUAUUGCACAAUGGGCGCAAGCCUGAUGCAGCCAUGCCGCGUGUGUGAAGAAGGCCUUAGGGUUGUAAAGCACUUUCAGCGAGGAGGAAGGCGCUGUAGUUAAUAGCUGCAGCGAUUGACGUUACUCGCAGAAGAAGCACCGGCUAACUCUGUGCCAGCAGCCGCGGUAAUACGGAGGGUGCAAUCGUUAAUCGGAAUUACUGGGCGUAAAGCGCACGCAGGCGGUUUGUUAAGUCAGAUGUGAAAUCCCCGAGCUUAACUUGGGAACUGCAUUUGAAACUGCCAAGCUAGAGUCUUGUAGAGGGGGGUAGAAUUCCAGGUGUAGCGGUGAAAUGCGUAGAGAUCUGGAGGAAUACCGGUGGCGAAGGCGGCCCCCUGACAAAGACUGACGCUCAGGUGCGAAAGCGUGGGGAGCAAAC